rnacentral:lncRNA from 1 species
GUUGUGUGGUAAAUCACACGUUGCAUAAGUGAAAUAAUUAGCUGAAACACUGGGCAAUGAAUAAAUAUUUGCACAAAUAAAUGCUUAUAUAAAUAUGCGCGAUCCGACUAGGAUUAGUGAUAUAUAUAUAUAUAUAUAUAUAUAUAUAUAUAUAUAUACAUACAUACAUACAUAUAUACUUGUGAAAGGUUGUGUGCCCAUAAUUAUGCCACGUGACUAGCCAUUGUCUCAAGGUAAUAGCCUUUGAUGCAAUAGUAUAUAAUAUAUUGAUCAGUUCGGUGCAUGUGUUUAGCACACGCAAUAGAUGGAGUUAUGAUCAUUUACAAUGAUUAAGUACUGACUUUCUGUCAGCACAGUACAUUUAAUAUGGUGUUACAUGGCAUAUAAGUGAUGCAUUUGUAUUGCACUACGCAUACUGAUAUUGGUAUGUACAUAGCAGACUUAAGUUUACAACAGCAUUAUUUAAUAAAAGCACAAGCACGCGGC